AACGUAGGAGACAAACGUUAUCCGGAGUUACUGGGCGUAAAGGGCGUGUAGGCGGCUUGGUAGGUCCGCUGUGAAAACUCGAGGCUCAACCUCGAGAUGUCGGCGGAAACCACUUGGCUAGAGUCCGGAAGAGGAGAGUGGAAUUCCUGGUGUAGCGGUGAAAUGCGCAGAUAUCAGGAAGAACACCUAUGGCGAAGGCAGCUCUCUGGGACGGUACUGACGCUGAGACGCGAAAGCGUGGGGAGCGAACAGG
rnacentral:rRNA from 1 species